rnacentral:rRNA from 1 species
AAGCGCUUGCAGCCAGAUUCACCUGGGGAGGCUCCAUCGGUACCUGUACCGGUUCAUUCCUUCCCGAGUGGGCCAGCGUCGGUUUGGGCGGUUGGUUAAAGACUCCUGGAAUGUGUCGCCCUCCGGGGCGUCUUAUAGCCGGGAGUGCCAUGCAACCAGC